rnacentral:rRNA from 1 species
GGGUCAGCAGGUUGGUCGUGCCACCGGUACGUACUGGUCUCACUGAUUCCUCCUUCCUGAAGAGCCGUAAUGCCAUUAAUUUGGUGUUGCGGGGAAACAGGACUGUUACUUUGAAAAAAUUAGAGUGUUUAAAGCAAGCUAACGCUUGAAUACAUUAGCAUGGAAUAAUGAAAUAGGACGAUCGAUCCUAUUUUGUUGGUUUCUAGGAUUGACGUA